AUCUCGUAAUGGGCAAUGUUUGACUGUAGACACUUACACUCUAGUACUGCGAGAGUCCGGUCACUCCUCCAUGCUGGUAUGCCCGUUCACCCUGGUAAGUGGAGUCUUGGGACAGUGCCACGUCCAUCUGUGACUUAAACUCAUCACCCAGUUUAAACCUUUCUCUAAAUAUACCUGGGAGAGUUCAGGCUGAGACAGGCCUGGCUGGCUCAUCUGUGAAGGCUGGCUCAUGGUAAUGUAACCCUGGGUCAAAGGGCCCUGGGAGAAGGGCUGAGACACCAGAUCCUGACUAGCUUGGCUGCUUGUCAUGUUGGCCUGGCCACUGCCAUGAUUGCCAAUGCCACGAUUCCUCUGACGCGCCCCACGUCCACCCGUCUUACCCUUUGGAGCACCACGGCCUAAACACAGAAGAAGUGGAGUGCUGCUGCGGUCAUACACUGAUCCAGGGAUCAUGGCCUCCCUGGCAUCGUACAUGGCAGUGCUCAUAAACCGGGCUCCCUAAAUUUCAAAAACACAUAAGCACAUAUUAGGUCAUUUCUGAAGUUAUGGUUUAUUAAACAAUGUUCUUCA